rnacentral:tRNA from 1 species
CGGAGCGUAGCUCAGCCUGGUAGAGCACUUGGUUUGGGGCCAAGCCGUCGCAGGUUCAAAUCCUGUCGCUCCGACCA